CUGUGUGGCUUUAGUUCUUUCCCAACUAUAAAACAAUAGUCUCUGCACCGCCCCCUUCUCGUUCUCUCUCAAUUUUUGAUCCUCCAGCUCUUGUUGUUCUUGAACGGAUCCAAAAUCCAAAAUCUAAAAUCCUAGCUAUCUUUUAUGCUAGAGAUAUAGGGAGAGAGAGAGAGAGAGAGCUUGAGGGAUCUGGAUCAUUGAAUCUCUACCAUGGAACGGAUCAUCGGCGGUAAGUACAAGCUCGGCCGCAAGAUCGGCAGCGGAUCGUUUGGUGAAAUCUUCCUCGCUACGCAUAUCGAUACAUUUGAGAUCGUCGCCGUUAAGAUUGAAAACGGUAAAACUAAGCAUCCGCAGCUCCUUUAUGAGGCCAAGUUAUACAAUAUUCUUCAAGGAGGAAGUGGUAUUCCUAGCAUAAGAUGGUCUGGCGUAGACGGGGAGGACAAUGUGCUUGUGCUCGAUUUGUUAGGACCCAGUCUUGAGGACCUGUUGGUGUAUUGUGGGAGGAAGUUCUCAUUGAAGACAGUUCUAAUGUUGGCUGAUCAAAUGAUUACAAGAAUAGAGUACGUGCACUCUAAAGGAUUCUUGCAUAGAGACAUAAAACCUGAUAACUUCCUCAUGGGUCUUGGUCGGAAAGCAAACCAGGUUUACAUGAUUGACUUUGGGCUUGCAAAAAGAUACCGGGAUGCAACAACCAAUCGUCAUAUUCCUUACAGGGAGAAUAAAAACUUGACAGGGACUGCACGUUAUGCAAGUUGCAAUACUCAUCUUGGAAUUGAGCAAAGCCGGCGGGAUGAUUUAGAAUCACUGGGAUAUGUGCUUUUAUAUUUUUUGAGGGGAAGCCUUCCAUGGCAGGGUUUAAAGGCUGCCACAAAGAAGCAGAAGUAUGACAAAAUAUGUGAGAAGAAGUUAUCAACUCCUAUAGAGGUUCUCUGCAAAUCUCAUCCAGUGGAGUUUGCUUCAUACUUUCAUUACUGCCACUCACUGACAUUUGAUCAGCGACCUGAUUAUGGAUUCUUGAAGCGUCUGUUCCGUGACUUGUUUGCUCGUGAAGGAUAUGAAUUUGAUUUCAUAUUUGAUUGGACAAUCAUAAAGUAUCAGCAGUCACAAAAGAAUAGAACCCAGUCUCGAGUAUCUUCUGUUCCUGUAGGUAGCAGUAGUCGUGCAAUGCCACUAGAUGUGGACAAUCAUCAAGGUGGUGUUAUCGUUCCUCUUUCAGCUGAAGUAAAAGAGCGUAUUAGACCUGGAAAUGCAACUGGUCCUGGUUUCCGGAUGCAUUUUAAAUCACCAAUUACGAAGAAUUUAAGUUCUGAGAAUCCUAUUGAGAAGAAUGUGACGAGCGAAGACCACAUGGCCUCUACUUCAUAUGCACUUGCUGGUUCCUCUAAAAGAAAUUCCUCAAAGCUUGCAUUGCCCACUGAUACUGCAAAUCCUGGUAAUGGACAUGGCAACCGAAUGGGUCCUUCAAGUAGCUGGAUAUCGUCACUGCCACGCAUCUCUUCUGCAAAGUGAUACAUGUGUAUUGUUUUGUUGUGGAUCUGCUCAAGAAGAUUCUAGGGACGCAACCUUUGAAGCUGCAAAUGUGUGGUGAUCGGUGUUUUGUUCUUCACUUUGUGUCUGUCGAGAAGAUUCUGGUAAUGCAUCUACAGAGGCUGCAAUGUGCCACUAGUGUGAUGUGCUGCAUUGGUUCCUCUAUUGAUGCCAGCUUGCGUAAUUUUUUCUUAAGGAUUUCUUUUUCCACAACAUUGUUUGCAGGAUGAAAUGUGGCAGGGAAAUGCUUACUGAGGAAGAAGGCAUAUAGGAAAUGUUGGCAUUAUGGGAUUUCCUGUAUGCUGAUCUAGAGAUUUGGAGUUGGCAUGAUUUUUGCACCCACUUGAUGUCAACAAAAAUUGUGAAAUUGGUGGUUUCUCACCAGGCAGGACGGGCUUCCCUCAAGGGAUGUGUUAGAUUAUUCCUUUCUCUUUCCCGGGAGGGUAGUAAAUGCACCACAAUUAGUAGUUGGAUAUGGUGAAAUCUGCAAAAUCCUUUAUGCUGGAUGUUUGGCAUACUGUUAAUAUCUGUGCUCUUCAAUCUGGAGAUCUAAGAACCCAUAACAUGUUGAUGGUCCAUUACUGUUUGAGACGCAUUUUCAUGCUAACUGCCAGGUACAUUACGUUUGAAAGCAGAUUCGUAUCGGAGUUAUUGAAUUCA